UAAUAUAAAACCAUUAAAGUGACCCUUACCCAGCAGCUUAAGCUUUUGGGCUGCAGAACCAAGUCAAGUAACCACUUUAUCCCAAAAGCUUAAGCUGUUGGGUAAGGGUCACUUUAAUGGUUUUAUAUUA
rnacentral:pre_miRNA from 1 species